AUUGAACGCUGGCGGCAUGCCUUACACAUGCAAGUCGAACGGCAGCACGGGAGCAAUCCUGGUGGCGAGUGGCGAACGGGUGAGUAAUACAUCGGAACGUGCCCAGUAGUGGGGGAUAGCCCGGCGAAAGCCGGAUUAAUACCGCAUACGACCUACGGGUGAAAGCGGGGGACCGUAAGGCCUCGCGCUAUUGGAGCGGCCGAUGUCAGAUUAGCUAGUUGGUGGGGUAAAGGCCUACCAAGGCGACGAUCCGUAGCUGGUCUGAGAGGACGACCAGCCACACUGGGACUGAGACACGGCCCAGACUCCUACGGGAGGCAGCAGUGGGGAAUUUUGGACAAUGGGCGCAAGCCUGAUCCAGCCAUGCCGCGUGCGGGAAGAAGGCCUUCGGGUUGUAAACCGCUUUUGUCAGGGAAGAAAAGUUCUGGGUUAAUACCUCGGAGCGAUGACGGUACCUGAAGAAUAAGCACCGGCUAACUACGUGCCAGCCGCCGCGGUAAUAC
rnacentral:rRNA from 1 species